AUCCCCCGACCUCGAGCUCCACAUCCCCGCCCCCUGCUUCGGCUGCCGCCGCCCCUUUUCUCUCCCGCAAAGCCCCUUGUCCAGAUCUAUCAGCCGCAGGCCCGUUUCGUUGGUGGGCAGCCGGUGGCCUUCGAGGCGCGUUCCCCGUCAUGUGCUAGGUGCCACACGCCUGGUCGCUGGUCGUCCUCUGAAUAGCUGUCGGUUCGGUGCUUACCCCCUCCUUCAUGUACGCAGGCUAGAGGAACUGGUCUUUGCUAGGUAAAGGGCCGAUUAUGGCAUCCGCAAUUGUUCUUCCAAACACGAACAACAUCUUGUGUCUCUCAUAGAUCGACCUGCUAGUUUGCUGCAACCCGUGAGCUGUAUUGUUGGUAGCUACGUUGGAGUGAUUGAACAUGUUGUUAGUCUGAACCUAAACUGAUCCCUGCUUAGUUAGUCAGUCCCUUUGUUUAAGAUUAGGAUCUGGCAUUACGAAGGUUACUUGUUGGAUCUGUGGUACUACAGAGAAGUGCACAAUCCAACCUUAUUUUAUUUUAGUUUCUAAUUUUUUGGUCAGAUCGAUGGCUACAGGGAUGGGUUACUUUAAAUUUCUGAAUUAUAAGCUUGCAAGUUUCUGAAAUCUCGGUCUAGAUAUUGCAUGUGUAACAGCUAUACAGAUGAUAUUGCUAGAAUUAGUAAUAAAUCUAGAGUACCACUUUUCUUGUAGCCCUUGGAUAAAAUUCAUAAGAGUAUGGUGGACAGAUUAGUAGCCCUUGGAUAAAGUGGUCUAAUUGGAAAUAACCUGAACCCGCCUUCUCCAUGUGCGCUACCAGUACAUACGUAGCAGUAAAAAUCUCCCCCGGCCGUGUGCUAUGUUGCUUGAGGCUCGACCAGUUCCUCUGCUUAAGCGACACCACCCAAGAUCCUACUAAAUCAAUCUUGCUCAACUAAUCUUUCUACCAUAAUCUAUGAAUUUUUCAUGAGCGUCCGUCAUGCCUUGCGAGGAAAAAGAACAGAUUGAUGGUGUGUGGGAAAGGAUGACAUGCAAGCGCUUGCGCACAACAGGCCUGACGGCUGAAGCUAGCUUGAUUGGUGCGCUCCAAGCAAGACUGCUGUGUUGCCCUUCACAUCUGGGCAUGAAUGUGUGUAUCUCUAUCUUCUUUUAUUAACCGGUAAUCGGCCACCUAGUAUUCAUGGAUGUGAUGACUUUGGAGUGUUAUAGAGCAUUUGGUUGUGUGCAGUAUUUUGGACCAGCCAACUUAAUUGUAAUCAUGAAUCUUAUGUGUGUUAUGGACCAUUUGGUGUUCAAGUGUUAUGGAGUAGAAAUCCAGUGGAUGUGACUUAAGUGUUUGGACCAUUUAGUGUUUGAACUCUUUUAGACCAGCAAAUAAGGGUCCUUUUAUGUGACUUGUGUUUUCUGGAUGUUUGCC